GUGGGGAAUAUUGCACAAUGGGGGAAACCCUGAUGCAGCAACGCCACGUGUGGGAAGAAGCAUUUCGGUGUGUAAACCACUGUCAUGAGGGAAUAAGGCCCGCCUUCGGGCGGGAUUGAAUGUACCUUGAGAGGAAGCACCGGCAAACUUCGUGCCAGCAGCCGCGGUAAUACGAGGGGUGCAAGCGUUGUUCGGAAUUACUGGGCGUAAAGGGAGCGUAGGCGGAGAUUCAAGCGGAUUGUACAAUCCCGGGGCCCAACCCCGGCUCUGCAGUCCGAACUGGAUCUCUUGGAUAGUUCAGGGGCAGGCGGAAUUCCUGGUGUAGCGGUGGAAUGCGUAGAGAUCAGGAAGAACACCGAUGGCGAAGGCAGCCUGCUGGGGACUUAUCGACGCUGAGGCUCGAAAGUGCGGGUAGCAAACAGG
rnacentral:rRNA from 1 species